UACGUAGGGUGCGAGCGUUGUCCGGAAUUAUUGGGCGUAAAGAGCUUGUAGGCGGUUUGUCGCGUCUGCUGUGAAAAUCCGGGGCUCAACCCCGGACUUGCAGUGGGUACGGGCAGACUAGAGUGUGGUAGGGGAGACUGGAAUUCCUGGUGUAGUGGUGAAAUGCGCAGAUAUCAGGAGGAACACCAAUGGUGAAGGCAGGUCUCUGGGCAGUUACUGACGCUGAGGAGCGAAAGCAUGGGUAGCGAACAGGAUUAGAUA
rnacentral:rRNA from 1 species